rnacentral:lncRNA from 1 species
GUUACGCGAGGAUGACACCUUUUGUGCUUUGGUUUAUUUUUAACAGAAACUUGUCGUGCGUGACCGAAAAUUGUUAUCCUUGUGUGACUGAAAUUGCCAUUGAAAAACGUCAGGGCCGGAGUGACACGCAUCUGACGUGUGACACUUAUAAUUUGGAAACAUCUUUUAUUCGUGAUAGCAGUAACGAAUUGUAGUAUUUGGAUAGUUCAUAAUAACAUGUGAGAUUAUGAAUAUAUCUUUAUGCGAGUAUAUUAGGAAAGAAUGUUAAAUGUAGCUAAUUAGCUCCAUGUGGUUUUGAUAUCUUAAUUUAAAUACAUGAAUCAUGCAUUUUCUUAGGUAACACAGAAUUAGCACUCCUCCGUUCACUAUUAGUAUAAGAUAUUUUAGUUUUUCUUUCAAUUUGAUGUACAUGGAUGUAUUUUCGUGCGUUCAUUCACUCAUUUUAAUCCAUACAUAUUUAUUAAAAUAUCCCAAAUAUAUUAAAUUUUUGAACGAAAGGAGUAACUAAAUCGAGAUUGGACUCUAUGUCGUGACAUGUGCGUAAGUGCAGCAAGCAAGAUUAAUCACGUGGAGGACAGAGUUACUCCAAGGGAAAAGAAAAGAGAAGAAAAGAAACCAGCAAAACAGCAUGUGAACCCACAUGUUUGCGUGAGCACAUGCCUCGUAGGUCUCCACGGGUUCGCAUGAAUGUUCGGGAUGGUUGACCAAAUAGUGCCGUGGUUUUCAAUGCUAACGAGUAGAUCUAGUGGCUAGUUUGGUUUGGAUUUGCCAAUUAUCGACCAUUGGAUAGAGUGAAAUCAAGGGCUUACAUUCAAAGUUAUGCGCACACUAAAGAAUGGUAUAGAUAGAUAAAUGGAUGAGGAUUUAGGGCACGCAAGUCC